AUUGAACGCUGGCGGAAUGCUUUACACAUGCAAGUCGAACGGCAGCACGGACUUCGGUUUGGUGGCGAGUGGCGAACGGGUGAGUAACAUAUCGGAACGUAUCCAAUAAUGGGGGAUAACGAGUCGAAAGAUUCGCUAAUACCGCAUACGCCCUACGGGGGAAAGCUGGGGACCUUCGGGCCUGGCGUUAAUGGAGCGGCCGAUAUCUGAUUAGCUAGUUGGUGAGGUAAAGGCCCACCAAGGCGACGUUCAGUAGCUGGUCUGAGAGGACGACCAGCCACACUGGACCUGAGACACGGUCCAGACUCCUACGGGAGGCAGCAGUGGGGAAUUUUGGACAAUGGGCGCAAGCCUGAUCCAGCCAUUCCGCGUGAGUGAAGAAGGCCUUCGGGUUGUAAAGCUCUUUCGCAAGGGAAGAAAACUUAGCCACUAACAUUGGUUGAGGUUGACGGUACCUUGAUAAGAAGCACCGGCUAACUACGUGCCAGCCGCCGCCGUAA
rnacentral:rRNA from 1 species